UACAGAGGUCCCAAGCGUUGUUCGGAUUCACUGGGCGUAAAGGGUGCGUAGGUGGUGAGGUAAGUCGGAUGUGAAAUCUCCAGGCUCAACCUGGAAACUGCAUUGGAAACUACCUUGCUAGAGGGUUUGAGGGGGGAUUGGAAUACUUGGUGUAGCAGUGAAAUGCGUAGAUAUCGGGAGGAACACCAGUGGCGAAGGCGACUACCUGGCCUGUUCUUGACGCUGAGGCGCGAAAGCUAGGGGAGCAAACGGG
rnacentral:rRNA from 1 species